rnacentral:rRNA from 1 species
AUACGGAGGAUCCGAGCGUUAUCCGGAUUUAUUGGGUUUAAAGGGAGCGUAGGUGGAUUGUUAAGUCAGUUGUGAAAGUUUGCGGCUCAACCGUAAAAUUGCAGUUGAAACUGGCAGUCUUGAGUACAGUAGAGGUGGGCGGAAUUCGGGGUGUAGCGGUGAAAUGCUUAGAUAUCACGAAGAACUCCGAUUGCGAAGGCAGCUCACUAGACUGUUACUGACACUGAUGCUCGAAAGUGUGGGUAUCAAACAGGAUUAGAUACCCUGGUAGUCCACACAGUAAACGAUGAAUACUCGCUGUUUGCGAUAUACAGUAAGCGGCCAAGCGAAAGCAUUAAGUAUUCCACCUGGGGAGUACGCCGGCAACGGUGAAACUCAAAGGAAUUGACGGG